rnacentral:rRNA from 1 species
GAUGAACGCUAGCUACAGGCUUAACACAUGCAAGUCGAGGGGCAUCAGGAAGAAAGCUUGCUUUCUUUGCUGGCGACCGGCGCACGGGUGAGUAACACGUAUCCAACCUGCCCUUUACUCGGGGAUAGCCUUUCGAAAGAAAGAUUAAUACCCGAUAGCAUAAUGAUUCCGCAUGGUUUCAUUAUUAAAGGAUUCCGGUAAAGGAUGGGGAUGCGUUCCAUUAGGUUGUUGGUGAGGUAACGGCCCACCAAGCCUUCGAUGGAUAGGGGUUCUGAGAGGAAGGUCCCCCACAUUGGAACUGAGACACGGUCCAAACUCCUACGGGAGGCAGCAGUGAGGAAUAUUGGUCAAUGGGCGCUAGCCUGAACCAGCCAAGUAGCGUGAAGGAUGAAGGCUCUAUGGGUCGUAAACUUCUUUUAUAUAAGAAUAAAGUGCAGUAUGUAUACUGUUUUGUAUGUAUUAUAUGAAUAAGGAUCGGCUAACUCCGUGCCAGCAGCCGCGGUAAUACGGAGGAUCCGAGCGUUAUCCGGAUUUAUUGGGUUUAAAGGGAGCGUAGGUGGACUGGUAAGUCAGUUGUGAAAGUUUGCGGCUCAACCGUAAAAUUGCAGUUGAUACUGUCAGUCUUGAGUACAGUAGAGGUGGGCGGAAUUCGUGGUGUAGCGGUGAAAUGCUUAGAUAUCACGAAGAACUCCGAUUGCGAAGGCAGCUCACUGGACUGCAACUGACACUGAUGCUCGAAAGUGUGGGUAUCAAACAGGAUUAGAUACCCUGGUAGUCCACACAGUAAACGAUGAAUACUCGCUGUUUGCGAUAUACAGUAAGCGGCCAAGCGAAAGCAUUAAGUAUUCCACCUGGGGAGUACGCCGGCAACGGUGAAACUCAAAGGAAUUGACGGGGGCCCGCACAAGCGGGGGAACAUGUGGUUUAAUUCGAUGAUACGCGAGGAACCUUACCCGGGCUUAAAUUGCAGUGGAAUGAUGUGGAAACAUGUCAGUGAGCAAUCACCGCUGUGAAGGUGCUGCAUGGCUGUCGUCAGCUCGUGCCGUGAGGUGUCGGCUUAAGUGCCAUAACGAGCGCAACCCUUAUCUUUAGUUACUAACAGGUUAUGCUGAGGACUCUAGAGAGACUGCCGUCGUAAGAUGUGAGGAAGGUGGGGAUGACGUCAAAUCAGCACGGCCCUUACGUCCGGGGCUACACACGUGUUACAAUGGGGGGUACAGAAGGCAGCUAGCGGGUGACCGUAUGCUAAUCCCAAAAUCCUCUCUCAGUUCGGAUCGAAGUCUGCAACCCGACUUCGUGAAGCUGGAUUCGCUAGUAAUCGCGCAUCAGCCACGGCGCGGUGAAUACGUUCCCGGGCCUUGUACACACCGCCCGUCAAGCCAUGGGAGCCGGGGGUACCUGAAGUACGUAACCGCAAGGAUCGUCCUAGGGUAAAAC